rnacentral:rRNA from 1 species
GCUAAACGCGAAGAACCUUACCUGGCCUUGACAUGUCCGGAAUUCUGCAGAGAUGCGGAAGUGCCUUCGGGAAUCGGAACACAGGUGCUGCAUGGCUGUCGUCAGCUCGUGUCGUGAGAUGUUGGGUUAAGUCCCGCAACGAGCGCAACCCUUAUCGUAUGUUGCCAACAUUUAGUUGGGCACUCAUGCGAGACUGCCGGUGACAAGCCGGAGGAAGGCGGGGACGACGUCAAGUCAUCAUGGCCCUUACGUGUGGGGCUAGAAACGUGCUACAAUGGUGGUGACAGUGAGCAGCGAGGUCGCGAGGCCAAGCUAAUCUCUAAAAGCCAUCUCAGUUCAGAUUGUAGUCUGCAACUCGACUACAUGAAGUUGGAAUCGCUAGUAAUCGCAAAUCAGCAUGUUGCGGUGAAUACGUUCCCGGGUCUUGUACACACCG